GAUGAACGCUGGCGGCGUGCCUAAUACAUGCAAGUCGAGCGAACGGACGAGAAGCUUGCUUCUCUGAUGUUAGCGGCGGACGGGUGAGUAACACGUGGAUAACCUACCUAUAAGACUGGGAUAACUUCGGGAAACCGGAGCUAAUACCGGAUGAUAUUUUGAACCGCAUGGUUCAAAAGUGAAAGACGGUCUUGCUGUCACUUAUAGAUGGAUCCGCGCUGCAUUAGCUAGUUGGUAAGGUAAUGGCUUACCAAGGCAACGAUGCAUAGCCGACCUGAGAGGGUGAUCGGCCACACUGGAACUGAGACACGGUCCAGACUCCUACGGGAGGCAGCAGUAGGGAAUCGUCCGCAAUGGGCGAAAGCCUGACGGAGCAACGCCGCGUGAGUGAUGAAGGUCUUCGGAUCGUAAAACUCUGUUAUUAGGGAAGAACAUAUGUGUAAGUAACUGUGCACAUCUUGACGGUACCUAAUCAGAAAGCCACGGCUAACUACGU
rnacentral:rRNA from 1 species